GUGCUCACUCUGGCAGCACAUAUAUUAACACUGGAACAAUACAAAGAAGAUUAGCAUGGCCCCUGCGCAAGGCUGAUAUGCAAAUGCGUGAAGCAUUCCAUAUUUUU
rnacentral:snRNA from 1 species